UAUAUGGUUGUGGCCUUCGAAAUCCUUCAUUCCGAAGGGUCUAUUUGAAGUGGCCAGUUUUGACCUUUCAAUACGGCGGCCAUGAUUGUUUUCACUCCGAAGUGCCCUUCGGAGGGCGAUAUUUCCCGUUUGGAACGCACCGGCUGUGUCCAAUAUGAAAUGUUACCGCUCUGAGAGCAGGUGGCAGUAUGAACUCACCACAGGCUGACCGCGACGAGUAAGAGAGUGAGUGAAGGAAGUAAAAGCCUCAGACCCUCCAAAAUGAGUAAAUCAAGACCCUUGAAGAAAGAGAAAAUAAGUGUGGCAAGCGAGGCCGGCCCUAGAAGAUGAGAUGACCAUAUUGAAUGAAAGAAUACAGAAAUAUGAAAAGGAGCUGCAGGUGCUGAGAGGAGAGAACAGGAAGAACAUGAUGCUGUCUGUCGCUCUGUUAGCCAUCAGUGCUCUUUUCUACUACACAUUCAUAUAUUAAGAGGUACUUUUCUCUCGUGCCAAACACCACCAGAGAAUGAGGUUUGGGGAGUCUGAUAUCCAUUCAUACCCAUCAGUGGUUUAUUCAGAGGUUGUGAAUUUGUCAUUUUAGCCAAAAAUACAUUAUACCUUAUGUCUUCAUCUCGGCCUCAACGUGUUGGAUUCCCUCAAAUCUAUACAUAGUUUGUUUGCCAUGCAACAAAGAGACAUUAGAUGCUUGUUCAUCAGAGAGACACACAGAUUUGGGAUUAUGUAUGUUUAUAUGAUCCUCAUUGUGAAACACUGUACCCAAUAAUGACUAAAUGCUGUUUCUCUCCAGAUCACUGUUUAUUGCAUUUCAACAGGACUAACAUGCACAAAGGUGGGAGGGGCAGAGGGUGUUAUUCCAUCCAAAAAUAAAAUUUAUCAACAAAAUGUUCAGUUGAAAUAAAAAACAGCCAUCAAUAAAAUGCAAUACUGUCCCAUGAAA